rnacentral:siRNA from 1 species
AGGAGAAUACAUGGUCACACAUGC